GGGGGAGACAAUAAUUCUUCUAAAUGAAUGGUUUAUAGUUAAUUAGUAACUCAAAAGCAUCAAGCCGCCGUUUAAUGCAUGUGCAAUUCACAAUAUGAUAAUAAUCUCGUGUCUAGUUGAUUAGUCGUCUUCAAACGUAUUGAUCAAUGUUUUUGGUCAGACUAUGCUAUCAGUUGUAUUUGAUUCAGAAUGCGCCUUUUUGUUGUUGAGGUAACUUCCCAUUUUUCCCUAUUAGAGUGUAGGAGUUGUUAAUUAGUUGUGAGUCUGGUAAGGUUGUUGCUUAGUUUAGACUAGUCAACAAAUUCUAUAAAUACAGUACGUUGAGAUUUCAGAAGCAAGCAAUUUUGAAUACAAAGAAAAGAAGUUUAUUCUCUGUUCUUUCUAUUUUCUUCUGUUUGGCUAGAUAUAUUUUCAUUCUUUUAUCAAGUUCUUUCAUGGUAUCAGAGCCAUUUGAUUCUGGAUCUUGUCUAUCAUGGCUUCCGCUAAUUUUGCAACUGAUGAGUCUAGCUCUGGUGUGUUCUCCGGCGAUCGUGUCACGACCGGUCUUCCUCGGCAUAAAGUGGUUAAGCUCGAUGAAGGCACCUAUAUUCAGUGGCGCAAAUAGAUCAAAUUAAUAGUGGAUGGCUAUGGACUUACAGGAUUUUUAGAUGGCACCAUUGUUUCGCCAUCGAGGUUUGUGUCUCUGCCCGAUGGAUCUCGUGCUCCAAAUCCUGCGGCACAGGUGUUCACGCAGCAAGAUAGGCUUUUGACCUCAUGGCUAUUAUCAACUGUAAGUACAUCUCUUCAAUCGUCAUUUGAUGAUGCGUGCAUGGCGUGUGAUAUGUGGAACAUGGCUAUUAAUCUGUUUGCAGCUGACACUGGUGCUAAGCAGUCACGACUUCUGCAUGAGCUUCAUUCCUUGAAGAAAGGUAACCUUUCCAUUAAAGCUUAUGUUGCUAAAAUUAAAGAUCUGCGUGCUAUGUUAGAUGCCUCUGGUUCUCGUCUCUCUGAUGAAAAAAAGAUUGAGGUGAUGCUCGCGGGAUUGCCGUCAGAGUUUGAGGCGGUUAUCUCCUCCGCUAGGCAGUCGACUGGCGUUCUGCCAUUACAACGUUUGGUUGAUGCUUUAGUUGAUUGUGAAAGUCGUCAAGCUCAAGUGUUACAGGAGGUAAAUUUGAAUGCAAAUAUGGUCGAGGAUGCGCCGUCGGUUGAAGAAGGCAGUCGUGGCGGUCGUACGUCUGUUCGUGGCCGUGGCAGAACCUUCCGAUCUCACAUUCAAUGCUAGAUCUGUAGUCGCUUCAGCCAUGUGGCUCAGAAGUGCUAUUACCGUUAUCAUAGGGACUCGAAUACCUCUUCCGUGGUACCGUCGGUAUCUUGUCAAGGGGUUCCGUCGGGUGUUGAGCAAGCUGAAUUUGGAUCGUGUGCGCAAGAAGAAGAAGAAGAAAAAUAUGUAGCUCCUUAUCUCAAAAGUCAGAGAACAAUUUAUGGCCACGGGUACUAUGCAAGUCAAAAUAGAAAUGGUGGUCAAAAUUGGAGUGCUAGCAUGCAAAGUGAGAAAUUGGCACGUGGGCCACAAGUGUCAUAUGCAAAUGAAUAUGGCGGGCCAUAUGGGAAUAAUUUGAAGUCAAGUUUGCGUCAGUUUGGUCAUGAUGAUGGGCCUGGUUUUAAUAGCAAUGGGUUUAAUGGAAAUGCCCCAUUGGAUUUUAUUGCUGGAAAUGGACGGCGUGGGUUGCAAGGGCUGAAUGUGGUAAAUUCUACUAAUGGGCUGAAUAUUGACCCAAAUGUAAAUAGGGUUCCAUCAUCUAAUUUUGUUCAAGUUGAUCAAAGUGAUCUCGGUUCGCCUGAACCGAUUAGUGUUGAUCGAGUUAUGCGCUUUACCAAACCGCGUGCUCGCGUUUAUACUGGGUCCGAACUGUGUAUUAGGCUUCCUCGACUAGGGGACUUACGUGCAUCUGAUUAUUCUGAUCCUUUAGAAUCUGGCUCUCAUGUCAAUAUUGCUCAACUUGGAUUUAGUACUAGUAAUGAUGCUCCGUACGUACCAGUGCGAGGUACCACCUCAUCUUGGUAUCCUAACUCGGGAGCGAGUCAUCAUGUCUGUCGUGAUGUGUCAGCUUUACGUGAUGUCACGCCAUAUUUAGGUACGUCAUCUCUUUUAAUGGGUGAUGGUACUCCUGCGGUAAUUUCGUCAAUUGGCACUACUAUUUUAUCUACUCAGUAUAAACCGUUACGAUUAUCAAAUGUCUUAUGUGUGCCAAGUAUACAGAAAAACCUAUUAUCCGUCUCACAGUUUGCUCGUGAUAAUGGUGUGUUUUUUGAGUUUCAUCCUAACCAUUGUGUUAUUAAGGAUACGGUGACUCGGAAGACAUUAUUGACAGGCCGCAUUCAUGAUGGACUAUAUCAGUUUUCUGUGCCAGUGGGUUCUACUCCGUCUACGGUUACUCCAUUUGUUGCUCAUUCGCAAGUUCCACAUACAGUUUUAGAUAAUAAUGUGUUUGCUUUAUGGCAUUAUCAUUUAGGCCACCCAUCAACUUCUGUGGUCAAAACAGUUUUAAAUAAAUGUAAUGUUACUUCAAGUAAAAAUAGUUUGGAUGGUAUAUGUACUGCAUGUCAAAAAGGCAAGUUACAUAAGUUACCUUUCUCACCUUCGACUACUAGCUAUCGUCCUUUUGAGUUGGUUGUGUCUGAUCUUUGGGGUCCUGCACCUGUUGCAUGUGGUGAUAAAAGAUAUUAUGUUUCGUUUAUUGAUAUGUAUACUCGGUUUACUUG
rnacentral:lncRNA from 1 species